UACGUAGGGUGCAAGCGUUGUCCGGAAUUAUUGGGCGUAAAGAGCUCGUAGGCGGUUUGUCGCGUCUGCUGUGAAAACUCAGGGCUUAACCCUGAGCCUGCAGUGGGUACGGGCAGACUAGAGUGUGGUAGGGGAGAUCGGAAUUCCUGGUGUAGCGGUGGAAUGCGUAGAUAUCAAGUGGAACACCAGUGGCGAAGGCGAGUCUCUGGACAUUUCCUGACGCUGAGGCACGAAAGCCAGGGGGAGCAAACGGGA
rnacentral:rRNA from 1 species